rnacentral:sRNA from 1 species
UUGUGAUAUAGGCCUAUAUUUAUUGUA